UACGUAGGGUGCAAGCGUUGUCCGGAAUUAUUGGGCGUAAAGGGCUCGUAGGCGGUUUGUCGCGUCGGGAGUGAAAACCAUGGGCUUAACUCAUGGCUUGCUUCCGAUACGGGCAGACUAGAGUGCGGUAGGGGAGAUUGGAAUUCCUGGUGUAGCGGUGGAAUGCGCAGAUAUCAGGAGGAACACCAAUGGCGAAGGCAGCUCGCUGGGACGUGACUGACGCUGAGACGCGAAAGCGUGGGGAGCAAACAGG
rnacentral:rRNA from 1 species